rnacentral:lncRNA from 1 species
UGUGAGCCAUUCUUUAAAUUUUGCUAAUCCAAUGAUGAGAACAUCCAUACGCAGACGAUCGAAGGGCGUUGGAUACUCGCCAAGAAGAAACUCGGGUGACAAUGUGGAACGAAUAAUGCUUUAUUAACAUCGUAAUUGUAUGAAUAUUUCUGGCGACAUAAGUUCAGAGACCGUGAGAAAGUUGUAUGUACAAUCUGUGCAUCGUUUUUAUGUUCUCACUUCCAGUUUCUUCCGUAAUUUACUCUCGUUUUUUUUUUUUUUUGCAUAUUAACCAAGCAGUUACGUACUUAUUGAGAAUAUUCAGACGAGCAUAAGUCAUGCUUUUUUUUUGUUUUUUCAAAAACAAUAGAUUUUUAUUUAGCAACAUAUUUUUACAGGAAGAAAAUAAAAAAAGACAUUCAAAGUUUAAAAGAUCAAAUUAUUGAGAAAAAAAACAACAAAAAGCCUGAAAGACAUUUUUCAGGUGCCUUGCUAUUACUUCUCCAGAGCAGUAUUCACCAUAUACUCUCUCUCUCUCACUUUCCCCUCUCUUUCUUUCUCUUGUUUUCCGCUUUUCUCUUUUUUUCUCGCUUCCCCUCUCUUUCUCUCUUUUUUUUCCUUUCGUCUUCUGCUUCUUUCUCGCUUUCUUUCUCUCCUUUCUCUUUCUUUCUUUCUUUCUUUCUUUCUUUCUUUCUUUCUUUCUUUCUUUCUUUCUUUCUUUCUUUCUUUCUCUGUCUGUCUCUCUUUCUCUGUCUGUCUCUCUUUCUCGCUUUCUUUCUCUCUUCUGCCUUUCUCUCCCCCUGCUUUUCUCUCUUUCUUUCUUUCUUUCUUUCUUUCUUUCUUUCUUUCUUUCUUUCUUUCUUUCUCUCUUUCUCUCCCCCUUUCUCUCUUUCUCUGUCUCACCACUCUCCACUUGUGGAAAUAUUUACUUCAUCCACAUAGUUUCUCAGGAGGGGAUUAACUCUCGAUGUUUCUCUGCAAGAGAAAACAAAGAAAAUAAAAUAAUCCCAGUAAACAAACAAAAAAAAAGUUGUAUUUAAAUAAGUGUUUUUUUUUGUUUCUCAGUCCCUUUUGAUCGAUAUCUUUUUGCUAACCGAACGUAUUCCCUGCCACCCUUAAAUCGCAUCACCACUAUUUGAUAGAUGGAAACUGUAUGGAAUCCCAUUCUCGUGUGUAUAUGUGUGUGUGUGUAUGUGUGUGUGUGUGUAUGUGUGUGUGUGUGUCUGUCUUCUUGAAACCCCUCCCCCCCACACACUUCACCACUUGAUAACCAGUGUUAGUUUGUUUACAUCCUCGAAACUUAGCAGUUCAUCAAAAGAAACCAAUAAAGUAAGCACCAGACUUUAAAACCAAGUAAGUACUGGGAUCAAUCUGUUCAAGUAAAAACCCUUUGAGGCAGUGCCCCAGCAUGGCCACAGUCGAAGGACUUAAACAAGAAAAGGAUAAAGUAAUAAACAUCUUACUUCCCUUCUGUCUCUCUGUCUCUCUUUUCCUCUCUCUCUCCCUCCUCACCAAUGAAGGAUUCUGCCCAAAACUUUAACAAAGAAAGAAAAAAAAAUAUUUGUGUCUCGUCUUUGUAAAAACUUGAUAUAUGGUACACACACGCACAUGCACACACACACACAUAUAUAUAUAUAGUGGCUGUGUGGAAAGUAGCUUGCUUACCAACCACAUGGUCCUGGGUUCAGUCCCACUGCAUGGUACCUUGGUCAAGUGUCUUCUACUAUAGCCUCAGGUCGACCAAAGCCUUGUGAGUGGAUUUGGUAGAUAGAAACUGAAAGAAACCCGUUAUAUAUCUAUAUGUGUGUGUGUGUGUGUGUAGUACCCACUGACUGCUGGCACGUAAAGGGCACUAUCCGAAUGUGGCUGAUGCCAGUACCCCUGACUGGCCCCUGUGCCGGUAGCACAUAAAAAGCAUUAUCCAAAUGUGAUCAAUGCCAGGCCCACCUGACUGGCUCCUUGGAAUGGUUGGUGUUAGGAAGGGCAUCCUCUGUAGAAACUUUGCCAGAUCAGACUGGAGCCUGGUGCAGCCACUCAGUCAAACUGUCCAACUCAUGAGCAGCAUGGAAAAUGGAUGUUAAACGAUGAUGAUGAGGAUGAUCAUGAUAUGUGUGUAUAUGUUUGUGUGUCUGUGUUCGUUCCCCCACAAUCGCUUGGCAACCAAUGAUGGUGUGUUUACAUCCCCGUAACUUAGUAGUUUCACAAAAGAGAUUGAUACAAUGAGUACUAGGCUUACAAAGAAUAAGUCCUGGAGUCAAUUUGUUUGACUAAAGGCGUUGCUCCAGCAUGGCCACAAUCAAACAACUGAAACAAAUAAAAGAAUACACACACACACACACAUAUAUAUAUUCUUUUAUAUUUAUGUAUAUAUAUGUAUGCAUGUAUGUAUAUAUGUGUAUGUUUUUGUAUGUAUGUAUGUAUGUAUUUCUAUGUAUAUUGAUAGUUGAUGGGUUCACAUAUUUUGCUUCACUAAUCAUUGAUGACAAUGUCUGGCAGGUUUGCAUUCAUUUGUUUUUGUUGCUCUUGUUUUUCCCCUCACUCUCUCUCUCUCUCUCUCUCUCUCUCAGUUUACACAGACAUAUCCCAGGUAUAUCCCAACUAUUGCCACUUGUACAUUUUUAGUGACCGUGUUUUGGUAAACGCUUGUACCAUUUGUUGUCUGUCCUGUCUUAGUAGUGUUUGUCUAUUGUUGAGCAAAUAUGACUACUUUAUCGGUUAUGCUUGUUUAUGUAUUCUGACCUGGCUAAUUCUGGACAACCUCAUGCAACAUGGUCGAUAUUCUCCUUCUUAUACACAGAAUUAUCUAAAUCGACCGUCUCCUCUAUUUUGUGGAAUAUUGUAUUCUUUUUUUUUUUGUGUGGGUCUUUUACUUGUUGUUGUUGUCACUGGACUGUGGCCAUGCUGGGGCACCACCUUGUGGGGGUUUUAGUUGAGCAAAUCUCCUCUGGUACUUAUUUUUGUUUUAAAUUUGAUAAUUGUUUCUAUUGGUGUAUUUUGCUGAACUGCUAAGUUACACAGACAUAAACAAACUAUCACCAGUUGUCAAGUGGUAGUGGUGGUGAACAAACACAAAUACAAAGGCACACAUACCCAUGGACACUCAUACACACACACACACAUAUGUAUAUAUAUGUGUAUAUAUAUUCUUUUAUUUAUUUGCUGGCCUUUAGUCAAACCUUUAGUCGAACAAAUCAACCCCAGGACUUAUUCUUUGUAAGCCUAGUACCUAUUCUAUCAGUCUCGUCGUUGUGGCUGCCGUCAUCAUCAUUGUGUUCCAUCUUCAUCAUUAUCAUCAUCAUUAUAUCAUCACCAUCAUCAUCAUCAUUUUUGUUGUCAUUAUCCUCCUCCGCCUCCUCCUCCUCAUCAUCAUCAUCAUCGUCACCGUCGUUGUCGUCAUUGUCGUCAUCAUCAUCAAGGUGGGUGAGCUGGCGGAAUUGUUAGCAUGUUAGACAAAAUGCUUCCCAGCAUUUCGCCUGUCUUUACUUUCUGAGUUCAAAUUCUGCCAAGGUUGACUUUGCCUUUCUUCCUUUUGGGUGGGGGUCGAUAAAAUAAGAACCAGUUGAGUGAGUACUGGGUGGGAGUGGGGUGUGGUGUGGGGUUUCAAUGUAAUCAAUUUACCCCUUCCCUCGAAAUUGCUGGCCUUUUGAAAUCAUUAUUUUUGUUGUGGUUGUUACUACUACUACUACUACUACUACUACUACUACUACUACUACUUACUACUUACUACUACUACUACUACUACUACUACUACUACCACUACUACUACUACUACUACUACUACUACUACUACUACUACUACUGCUGCUACUACUACUUAUUGUUGCUGCUAUUAUUAUUAUUAUUAUUAUUAUUAUUAUUAUUAUUAUUAUUAUUAUACUACUACUACUACUAUAUUAUUAUUAUCAUUAUUAUUAUUAUUAUUAUUAUUAUUACUACUAUUAUUAUUAUCUACUACUAUAUUAUUAUUAUUAUUAUUAUUAUUAUUAUUAUUAUUAUUAUUAUUAUUAUUAUUAUUAUUAUUAUUACUACUACUAUUAUUAUUAUUACUAUUAUUAUUAUUAUUAUUAUUAUUAUUAUUAUUAUUAUUAUUAUUAUAGUUAUUGAACCCCUCAUUUAACCCAUGGUGGAAUCAGUGAUUAUCGAUAAUGGUGUGUCCAUGCUGUCUAAUGCCAUGACCUGUGCAAGUUGGUGGGACAAUACACACACAUCUCAAUCCCGGAGAACGUCCAAUAUUCAUGGAACACCAGGCAUUUCGGAGAAUAGUCUGGCUUCAUGAGGUAAGA